rnacentral:rRNA from 1 species
UACGUAGGGGGCAAGCGUUGUCCGGAUUCAUUGGGCGUAAAGAGCGUGUAGGCGGCCAGGUAGGUCGGUUGUGAAAACUGGAGGCUCAACCUUCAGAGGUCGACCGAAACCAUCUGGCUAGAGUCCGGGAGAGGAGAGUGGAAUUCCUGGUGUAGCGGUGAAAUGCGCAGAUAUCAGGAAGAACACCCGUGGCGAAGGCGGUUCUCUGGGACGGUACUGACGCUGAGACGCGAAAGCGUGGGGAGCAAACAGG